rnacentral:misc_RNA from 1 species
GAUGAAGAACGUAGCGAAAUGCGAUAAGUAGUGUGAAUUGCAGAAUUCAGUGAAUCAUCGAAUCUUUGAACGCACAUUGCGCCCCUUGGUAUUCCGAGGGGCAUGCCUGUUCGAGCGUCAUUAUAACCCUCAAGCUCAGCUUGGUGUUGGGGCCUGCUGCACUGGCAGCCCUUAAAAUCAGUGGCGGCGCCAUCUGGCUCUAAGCGUAGUAAUUCUUCUCGCUAUGGAGUCCUGGUGGACGCUUGCCAUCAACCCCCAAUUUUUCUAUGGUUGACCUCGGAUCAGGUAGGGAUACCCGCUGAACUUAAGCAUAUCAAUAAGCGGAGGA